UACGUAGGGUGCGAGCGUUGUCCGGAAUUAUUGGGCCGUAAAGAGCUUGUAGGCGGUUUGUCGCGUCUGCUGUGAAAAUCCGGGGCUCAACCCCGGGCCUGCAUUCGAUACGGGCAGACUAGAGUUCGGUAGGGGAGUCUGGAAUUCCUGGUGUAGCGGUGAAAUGCGCAGAUAUCAGGAGGAACACCGGUGGCGAAGGCGGGACUCUUGGGCCGAUAACUGACGCGAGGAGCGAAAGCGUGGGGAGCAAACCAGG
rnacentral:rRNA from 1 species